rnacentral:rRNA from 1 species
GACAGAGGGUGCAAACGUUGUUCGGAAUUACUGGGCGUAAAGCGCGUGUAGGCUGCUUCGCAAGUCGGGGGUGAAAUCCUGGAGCUCAACUCCAGAACUGCCUUCGAUACUGGAAGACUUGAGUCCGGGAGAGGUGAGUGGAACUGCGAGUGUAGAGGUGAAAUUCGUAGAUAUUCGCAAGAACACCAGUGGCGAAGGCGGCUCACUGGCCCGGUACUGACGCUGAGGUGCGAAAGCGUGGGGAGCAAACAGG